AAGUCGUAACAAGGUCUCCGUUGGUGAACCUGCGGAAGGAUCAUUAACAAAUCAGAUAUGGGUAUGUCGAGCAAUCGGCACACCCAAUAUAUCAACCCGAACCUGGCAGCAAUGCCGGGCGAGGUGCAGCAUGCCUUGUGUGUGCUGCGGUCGGCCUGGACGUGUUAUGCGGAAGGGCUGGCCACAUAGACGCUUGUAUGUUUGACAGUUUUGUGUGAUUAAUACAAAAAUGACAACUUUUAACAAUGGAUCUCUUGGCUCUU
rnacentral:misc_RNA from 1 species